rnacentral:rRNA from 1 species
UACGAAGGGGGCUAGCGUUGUUCGGAUUUACUGGGCGUAAAGGGCGCGUAGGCGGAUUUUUAAGUCAGGGGUGAAAUCCCAAGGCUCAACCUUGGAACUGCCUUUGAUACUGGGGAUCUUGAGUCCGGGAGAGGUGAGUGGAACUGCGAGUGUAGAGGUGAAAUUCGUAGAUAUCGCAAGAACACCAGUGGCGAAGGCGGCUCACUGGCCCGGUACUGACGCUGAGGUGCGAAAGCGUGGGGAGCGAACAGG